GCUGGGCGUAGUGGUGCACGCCUAUAAUCCCAGCUACUCAGGAGGCCGAGGCAGGAGAAUUGCUUGAACCCGGGAGACGGGGGUUGCAGUGAGCUGAGAUCGUGCCACUGCACUCCAUCCUGGGUGACGGAGCAAGACUCUGUCUCAA
rfam:Nomascus leucogenys chromosome X, whole genome shotgun sequence.